AGCCUUUAGAGAUUAGAGAGUUGGAAGAGGCUGCUAUUGGAAUCAAUCGUCCCGGGUAAGCAGGCUGCAACUAAGGUCAAGUUCAAUCAUGUGGCCCGACAUCUCAUCACAGUUCACUCCUUCCCAUAGGCAGCAAUCUCCGCUCUUAUUCCAUGGUAUUGUUU
rnacentral:pre_miRNA from 1 species